CCGAUAUGUAUAACUAGAAGACCAAUCACCCCUCUUUUUCAGAGAAUCCCUCAGGAUUAACAGGAAUCCUUGAGUCCCUAAUGUUCUCCCACCAGCCCACUUGGGAUGACUGCCAGCAACUUUUGCAGGUCCUCUUUACAACUGAAGAGAGAGAGAGGAUCCUGCUAGAAGCCAGAAAAAAUGUCCCAGGACCAGAUGGGAUCCCCACUAAUCUCCCCGACCUUAUAGAUGCAGCUUUCCCCUUGGCCCGUCCUGCCUGGGACUUCAAUACUGCGGAAGGUAGGGAGCAUCUCACAGUCUACCGCCGGACUCUAGUGGCGGGGAUAAAGGGGGCCGCACGGCGACCCACCAAUUUGGCCAAGGCCUUAGAAGUUGUCAGAACACAGAUCCGGGACCAGAUCAAAGAAGCCUACACACUGGGGACCACUGCAGUGCCCCACGGGUUCCAAGUCAGGGACUCGGUCCUGGUCCGACAACAUUGCGCUGCCACGCUUGAGCCCCGGUGGAAGGGACCUUAUCUAGUGCUGCUGACCACCCCCACAGCUGUAAAGGUAGACGGGAUCGCCGCCUGGAUCCACGCCUCCCACAUAAAAAAGGUACCCAACCAGGAUGAAGACGACCGCGGAGAAAAUUGGAUGGUGGCCGCUACUGAUAAUCCUCUUAAACUGUGCCUUCGCUGUAGCCCCAACCUUGGGUAAUAAUCCUCAUGCUCCCAUGACUCUGACAUGGGAGGUCAUCUCUCAAGCCGGAGAUACUGUAUGGAGUACUUCAAAGGUGCCCCCCCCCCUAUACAUGGUGGCCCCCUCUGUUCCCUGAAAUCUGUGCCCUGAUAGCUGGAUUAGACGCUUGGGAUAUCCCUGAAGAGUCACAUGAAACGGUGCCCCAAGAUGAGGUAAUCUAUCAAAAGCAGUCAUAUCACCAGGGGUUAAGUUCCCAAGGACAGUACAUUGCAGAUAUACCAGGCUGUAGUGGUAGGUCUAAACAGAGGAGACUCCGUCAGGAGCCCUUUUAUGUCUGUCCCAGGGAUAGGGUAAAUAAAAAAGAGGCUCGCCAGUGUGGGGGAAUAGAGGGCUUCUUCUGUAGUCAGUGGGGAUAUGAAACCACUGGUACCACUCAUUGGCACCCUUCCUCUAGCUGGGGUUUUAUUAUAGUAUCCAGACGAAAUAAGGGCCAUGACUCCUUAAACAUCACUUUUACUCAAAAAGGAAAAGAGACAAAAAAGAUUGGAUAAAGGGAAGACAGUGGGGCCUAAGAUUUUAUGUGACAGGGACGGACCCUGGAUUCACAUUUAAGAUCUGGCUAAAGAUAAAGAGUCCCCCAACCCAGUCAGUAGGACCUAAACCCGUCCUUGUUAAAAAACCUCCAAUGCCCCUUCCCAGACCUACCUUCCCCGGACCUACCCUAGUUGGUCCAGCUAUUCCAACAGAAGUCUAUAUCCCUUCCUCAGACCUGAAACCUACAUCGUCCACUACUCCCCCAGAUACUGAAAACCGUCUGUUUAGCCUGGUACAGGGGGCUUUUUUGGUACUCAAUCGUACCAAUCCCAACAUCACUCAGUCUUGUUGGCUGUGUUAUGCCUCCAAUCCCCCAUAUUAUGGAUGCAGACCUAGGAGCGCUAAAGCAGUCCAUCACCAAACUCGAAGAAUCUUUGACCUCGUUAUCAGAGGUAGUGCUACACAGAACAGGAGGGGGAAAGAUCUUCUUUUUCUUAAAGAAGGUGGACUCUGCAGCACUAAAAGAAGAGUGCUGUUUUUAUAUAGACCAUUCUGGUGUUAUCAGGGACUCCAUGGCUAAGCUCAGAGAAAGGUUAGAAAAACGAAACAAAGAAAGAGAAGCAUAUCAAGGAUGGUAUGAAAAUUGGUUUAACAGGUCUCCCUGGUUUACUACACUUAUAUCCACCCUGGCAGGCCCUCUGAUUAUCCUUUUCCUCCUGCUUACUUUUGGGCCAUGUAUUUUAAAUAAGCUGGUUGCUUUUGUUAAAGAUAGAAUAAACGCCAUACAAGUCAUGGUCCUCAGACAGCAAUAUCAGACUCUUCAACAAGAAAAAGAAAGGUCACUCUAAGAUUAGAGCUAUCCACAAAAAGAAGUGGGGAAUGAAGAGCAAAAGCUUAUAAUUUUGGGUCUUUUAGCAUUGUGGUAUCUAAGUUCAAGAAAUUCAGGGCUAAAGAAUAGACCCAGGCGGGUCCAGGCACAGCCAAACCCACCCUGUAGCUAAGAAUGUCCUGCCAUAAAAGAUAAAGAAAAGAAUGCAGGAACUAGCCAAGGCUAUCAGGACAGACCAAAUGGCCAUCUGGCAGGAUGGCGCCUCCUGGGCGGCGCCUCCCUAUAGCCCCCCAUAAAUCAUACAUUGACCAGGUGUCCUGCUGACCUUGAGAAGUCCCAAGCCCUUGUGCCUCCCUACACCUUAGCCGGCACGUAUUACCCUGUUAAUUUGUAAUCACCCCGCCAACAUUUAAAUAAGCCAAUCAUGUGUGACCACGCAAAUUUUUUCAGCUCCCCCCUUUUGGUUUGUAGUUUUUGCCUUUAUAAGCCUGUAAAAAGUUUGGGCCAGGGUCGAACUCCCCUGCCCCCUGUGCAGUGCAUGAGUUUCGACCCCAGCAUGCUGGCUUGAGUGCUCCUUUGUUGUUUGUGUGUUUGUGUGCCAUUAAAGCCUCGUGUAG
rnacentral:lncRNA from 1 species